AAUGGAUUAAAGUAAUGAAGAGAUUUGAAAAACUGCAAUUACCCAUUGUAUUAAUGUUAUAUAUACCGUUGUAUUACUGUUAUAUUACCAUUGGAUUAGACUAGGGGUUAUCAAACUC